GACGAACGCUGGCGGCGUGCCUAAUACAUGCAAGUCGAGCGGAUUGAUGGGAGCUUGCUCCCUAAUAUCAGCGGCGGACGGGUGAGUAACACGUGGGCAACCUGCCUGUAAGACUGGGAUAACUUCGGGAAACCGGAGCUAAUACCGGAUAAUCCAUUCCCUCUCAUGAGGGAAUGCUGAAAGAUGGCAUCACGCUAUCACUUACAGAUGGGCCCGCGGCGCAUUAGCUAGUUGGUGAGGUAACGGCUCACCAAGGCAACGAUGCGUAGCCGACCUGAGAGGGUGAUCGGCCACACUGGGACUGAGACACGGCCCAGACUCCUACGGGAGGCAGCAGUAGGGAAUCUUCCGCAAUGGACGAAAGUCUGACGGAGCAACGCCGCGUGAGUGAUGAAGGCCUUCGGGUCGUAAAGCUCUGUUUUUAGGGAAGAACAAGUACCGGAGUAACUGCCGGUACCUUGACGGUACCUAACCAGAAAGCCACGGCUAACUACGUGCCAGCAGCCGCGGUAAUACGUANGUGGCAAGCGUUUGU
rnacentral:rRNA from 1 species